rnacentral:lncRNA from 1 species
CACAUGAUACAAAUAGAUCGCAGUCUAUUAGGGAUAGCCAUGUUCAAGUCCAGUUAUGUUAGGUUUAAUCUGGUGGAAUCGGGUAUCUAGACUGUCAAUUAAAACGAGCGGACCGCUCGAGUUGGCAAGGGACAGCUUUACCGGUAGCAGGGCUUUCCGGCCUCACUGUUGGUCCCUUUCCGUCCUAAGUCAUGGGUGACUACAGAAUCCUUCCCAGGAGCGUUGCCGCA